GGCAUCACAAUGCCAGAACUCCACACAGUUGUGUUCUGGGUUCAGAUGCAGCCUGUGAUGGAGUGGAGAAGGGGAAGGAAGAGCAGACUCCUUACUGUACAGUAGCCCAGGGGACUGUCAACUGCAUCUUAGUACAGUUAUAUGGAUGGCCCCCCUGAGUGUAUGGAAACAAAAUCAAUGGCAAACUUCAAUCCGCACAAUCACUCCUUAUCUGAGACAGAGCAUUGGAUAUUACCUUACAGGAGGAAAGAAGAAAAACAAAAGUGAAAAAGAGGAUGGCUGGUAUUUACCUGAGCCCUGUGUUCGUGACUCGAUUCCUACUCUGUGCACAUUGCUCUUUUUCCAACAGGAAAUGGAAUUCUAAUACUUUCAUAAGCAAUGGAUAUACUUACCCCCUUUUCUCUUCUGGAUGGUUAGACAAAUAGGCAGAUGUUUAUGAACAGUUCUUUGCCGCGUGGGAUUAUAUAUAUUCCCUUCUGGGAAGGGAAAAAGGUAUUUCAGCUGCAGUGAAGAUUGAUAGCAAUUCCCUGGGAGAGGUCAGCUCUGACUUUUACUAAACUCCUGUUCCCAGUUCUCUCCCAUGGCAGCUGCUGACAGCCAAGCAGCUCCUGCUGCUAGGAUCAGAUAGUCUUUAAGGGACUGCCUUCUCAUGGCUGGAAAUCUGUGGACACUGUGCUAGCUCCAAGUCACUGUGACUCUUAUGUUGUGUGCUGCACAUCAGUUGCAUAAAUGUUGUCUGCGUUCCUUGUGGCAAACUUCAGAAAUUCAUUACUUAUCUCUGGGGUUAAAAAAAAAAAAAGGAGGGAGAGAGAGAGAAGCAGGUACUAGUUUUCUACUGCUCGUACAAUGUCAUUCUGUUUCCUUGCUUGAUUUGUGUUGGUUUUAUUUCAUCUUGCAAGGCUGGAGUUUUCUCUUGCUCAGUAGUGGGUUGUUCUGGUGAGGGGAGAUGUAGGUGCACUAAUGUACCUGUGUUUCUAUAGAAGAAACAGGAAGGAAGGGGCUGUAACAAACCCAAAUCAGAACACAUCCUCAUUGUAAAACCAUUAGAAUAUAAGUGGCCUGAAGUUUAAGAGAGUUUACACAGCCAGUUGUCCACUUAGGAAAGUGUAUACAAUGUCAGUCUGAAUGGCAGUAAAGUCAUGCUAGGUGGGGAACCAGUGAGAGAAUUAAACGUAUUCUCAGAGAUGUCAUGACUGAGUGGAUCAUAAAGUUUCAGAAGUUCAAUUUCACUGUUAAGACCAAGAGAAAGAUGUCAUCAGAAGCAAAGGGACUGGAUUCUUAUAACUGGCCUGCCUGUUCCAGAAGAUAAGGAAGUGUGACUGCUUAAGCUCAUGUUCAAUACUGGCUACCAAUGCACCACAGCCAAUGAACUUAUUUCCACCAGAAACAUCAAGGCCUGAAUUUGGAUAAAACCACCUUGCCCCAAUAUUUUAAAUUCAGUUCAAACAUCAGAGCUUGUUUCUGUUUAACACUUCACCUAAUGUCUGUGCCUGCAAAAAUGCAGAUUUACCUCUCACUUUCACACCCUACUCUUCAUGUUUCAUUGCUCCAUAUGCUUUUGCCUAUCAGGACCUCCAUGCAGAACUCACGUAAGUACUUAAUUUUAAGCGUACGUCUAAGUCUACUGGUAUCUAUUAAAGAAUUUUAAGUUUGGUCCCAUUAAUCUCCAUAAUUAAAAAUCACGUUGAUUUGACUCCAGGCAUCAGUGUUCUAGACUCUGUCCAGCUGUGUAAGAGUCUGCAAGUAUAUUUUCUGCAGAGUACCAAGAUGGGUGGAUAGCAGAAAUGAAAGCUUUCAUCCUCUCCAUAAAGGGAGUAGUAUCUCCCUCCUCCAAGUUUUAUGAAUUCAAUCUGAAAAAAGAAGUCAUAAACACGCUGUUAAAAGACUGCUGUUUUAAAAGGCUGUUUCCCCAGAGACAGUCUGUGAAGCAUCUUGAUGUGAAUUCAUAAUGUCUGAGCAGUCUCAGUUGAAUUAAAGACUGAAAAGAGGACAAGAGCAGCAAAACAUGACUUCAGAAUUCAAGUUAGCCAAAUGAGGCAAUUCAAGGCUUAAGUGGCACUUCACGUUCUUAACUUUGGCCAUAGAAACUUUCAAAAAUGCAAAGGUAAGGUAAUUUCUGUUGCAGAACAACCAAUUUCUCUUAGGAAAACUUUCCUUCUGUGCAGAGGCCAAAGGCAUGCUGCUCUCCUCUCUGAGCCUCCUGCAGUUGAAAUACCAAUGGCAUCUGCCCACCACUAUGGCUGGGCAGAAGCUGAAACCCAACCAGUGGAGCCACGAACUUCAUGGGCAGAUGUGUGAACCCAAACAGCCCUCCUGAGGAGUGAAAAAGCUGUUCAGAUCUUUGGCUGUGGAGAACUCCAGAAUCUGGAAGUGCUCUUAGAGCCUGAAGGCCAGAAGUCAUAGAAUCUUAGAAUGCGUUAAGUUGGCGUGGACCUUAAAGACAAUGUAGUUUUAAGCCCCUGCCAUGGGCUGGUUCAUGUCUCUGCCUGGGCCCAGUCCUUGCUCAGAAGCCCACCAGAAGUCAACAGAGAGCCCAGAAAGAUGGGCAGCCCACAGGUGGGAAGCAGAGCUGGCCUGCACUUGACUUGAGGAGAUGAGAUAAGAGAAGAGAGGGCCCAGGUCACUGCCUGCUCCAGGCCUGGUGGCAUCAGCGUACCCAUCACUUCUUCUAGCUCAUUCAUAUUUGCUUGCAAAUAAAAUAAGCACUACCCAAGCAGAACAGAGAUUUAUUUUCAAGCAUAUGAGCUUGAAAAUAAAUUUAAGGUCGUUUACUUAAAAUUACAUUCUAGAAACAAUGGUGAUGCUUCUGCAUUACUCUGUCUUUUUUUAAUGCCACUCUGUAUUUAAUCCGUCUUACUGCUCAAUAGGAAUAGCUUACUCCUACAUUUGAGUAACUGAUUGGGUGAGAGCCUGCAUCUCAAACACCAUCUUGUCACUAGCAAUGAAUGCCAUUUUUAGAUCUUUCAUUCCAAAGAAAGGUCGGUCACUAUUUUAAAUGAUGAUAGAAGGAAAAAGCACUCAGUGCAAUGUUCACCUUCCCCAGUUUUUAAAGGGGAAAAAAAUAAUCACCCUUGCUAAGGUAAUUUCUAAUAUUUUGUAUAGAUUUAACUCAAUCAGGAAAAAGAUUUUAUUCUCAAGGUGUUUUUAUACAUUUCUGAUAAUGUCACAGUUGUCCUGUGGAAGGACAUCAGAUAAGACACACGGUUGGUUGAAAUCUUCAAAUUCUUUGUGGUAUUUUUCAAAUGAAAAACAUUCUGUCUUCAGAAAAUAACAUUAAAGAAACAUCAGACUAUUAAUUCAAGGUUACCAAAUAUAGUUGGCCUUGACUUUACAGGGAUUUGUCUAGUUUAUGGGCAAAUGGUCUCAAAUGUCUAUUAUAUUUAAUUAUAAAAGUCAAGUCCUUUGUAAAGUUGCUUCCACAAUAUCUGGACCACUAUUUUUGGUUCCUUACCUGUAAGAAGCCAAUGGAGACUAACCUUUCAGCCUAUCCAGGUAAAGCAGAUAGAACUCCUUUGAUGCCAACUGCUGUGACGGAAACAUCUCUGUCAUAUCUUUAGCCCAGGUGAGGUACGUCAGCAUCAAAACAAUUCCUUUUGGCAAGCUGUAUGUUGUUUGAAAAUACAGCCUGGAUAAAUCUUAUGAACACACCUUAUUUUCUCUUUGAAUUGAAUACAGCAGUUGAGGACAUCUCUAAGAGGAAACAUCAGCUCUGCAGGACAGUGAGCAACCUCCAUUGGGAAAAUAGCUCUCCUCAUUGCUUCAGUGUUUCAUCACUUGUUAAUUAGAUGCUUUCCCCUCUUCAGUUCUUAAACAGAGCUCAGCUAGUGCAGAUGCAAGUUCCUCAUGAGCGCUGUUCAACUACAUUACUCCUGAGGAUGAAAAGAGGAUUGCUGCAGGGAAAUUUUGCACAUUUGGGAGAAUACUUAAGCUCUGGUUAAAAUCUAACUUUUCUUAAGUAUUUCACGCCUCUUUCCCCUACAGUAUAUUCAGACCAUCACAUUUAUCUUUUUCCUUACAUUUUUCAAACCUUUUUUUUUUUUCUUUUCAUUUUUUAGAUCUAAAUAAAAAGCUUCUCAACAUAAUAGAUAUUUUAGCAUAUAUUGAGAUCUGAUUCUUGCUUUAUUUGAAAUACUUAUUCAGCUAUCAUGAUUACAACAAUUUAGCAAAUAAACAGUGUUAAACGUGUGUGUGGGAACUGUUGAGUCCUCACCUGAAGCACUGAUUGAGCUCCUGGAGAA